GAUGAACGCUGGCGGCGUGCUUAACACAUGCAAGUCGAACGGACGGAGGGAGCUUGCUCCCAAAGUUAGUGGCGGACGGGUGAGUAACGCGUGGGUAACCUACCCUAUGCAGGGGGAUAACAUUUGGAAACAAAUGCUAAUACCGCAUAACCUAAGAGUUUCGCAUGAAACACUUAGCAAAGAUUUAUCGGCAUAGGAUGGACCCGCGUUGGAUUAGCUAGUUGGUGAGAUAAUAGCCCACCAAGGCAACGAUCCAUAGCCGGCCUGAGAGGGUGAACGGCCACACUGGGACUGAGACACGGCCCAGACUCCUACGGGAGGCAG
rnacentral:rRNA from 1 species